GUUGUCAUGUUUGACACACUGUGAGUCACAGUGCCUUAUAGGUACAACACAGGCAGCAGCUGUCACCACAAUUUUAUUUCCCAUUACAGAUAAUUGAAUGUAAUGUGUGUGCAUCCCCUUUAGUCUUAUUCUAAUAAGCUUUGUAACACAAUAGCAUUAGGAUUGUCCAUCUAAUAGGAUGCAAACUGUUAGGUUUGAUCAGACAUAUUGGUGCAUGCAGGCAGUAUUAACUGGGUAAUGUGAGAGAACUGAUAUAAUUACAGUGGAGGUUGGGAACAGUCAAGGUUAUAGUGUUUUGUCUCAUUGUUUUCACUGACAAUCUAAUUUUUGUCCUAACGCUUGUGUUUAUCCUCUUUCCAUCAUCAGUGAUAGAACUUGAAGUUUGAGUCCAAUUUUUCAGUUUGCCACAUAUCCCAUAUUCUCUAGGUUUCGGCAUUUAUAUUUAUGGAAAAAAUAUGAUUGUAUUGUCUUUCUCUGUUCUUCCUUUUGAAAUCUAAAUCCCUGCAUCUCUGUUCUGUCUGGAGGUGGAGUUAAGCCAGUGAUAGGCAAAUAAUGAGGACUGCUGUCAGGGGGAUUUUGGCAGGCUCUUGGGGGGAUUGAGGACGCCUCACUGGGAGGCCCAGAACCUCAGGGAUUACUGAGCUCACCCUCUUCUUUGCCAGCUCCCAUAGGACAGGUGACCCCACUAUCCUGGACUCAACUUAAGACAUCAUGCAUUGCUAGAGCUAAAUUUGACGAUUUCUUGCAGGGUUUGAUUAAAAAUGCAGCAGUGGGUUUGCAGCAUGAGUCAUACUUCAGCGCCUGUGGUAAAGAGGAAAUCGUGUCUCUUCGUGCAGCGCCAUUUGAAGAACUUUUGGGAAUUUUGUUAUCUUCAUGACCCUCAGGAGGAGGAAGGAGUAAUCUUAGAACUGACUGGAGGCCAAUACUGUUAUCUCUUCUCUUCCACUUUGCAUCAUUACUAAAGCAUCAGAGCAGGACAGACAAUGCUAACAAAGGAAGUGUGGACAGCUAUGACUGUUACAGCCGGAC
ensembl:lncRNA